rnacentral:rRNA from 1 species
AUGCAGAAGCCCUCCACGCCCACGUCCUGCGCCGUGAGCACCAGCGCGAUGCCGCCCUUCGCGGGCCUCGCCUUCGCCGCCAGCGCCGGGAGCUGGGACAGCUUCAGGCUCUUCCCGAGCGAGCACGCCUCGUCGGAGACCUGGCCGGACAUGACCACUCGCGCAGCCUUGGUGGCGUCGGCGCCGUGCUCGCCGUUCUUGCCGACGGCCGCCGCCUUGGAGAGGUACAGCUGGUGGAUGCUGCUCCACCACUGGGACACGGACGGCGCCGGGGACGCGCGGGGCGCGGCGGAGAGGGAGAGGAGGAAGUCGGAGACGAUGGCCUUCUGCGCAGCCGUGAAGCGGCCGUACCAGAGGACGGAGACGGGGAUAUCGCCGUGCAGCACGGCGCCGUUGUGGUACGUGAGGAGGUUCGGCUGGGGCUGGACCAGGAACAUGAGCUUCCUCGUGCUCGUGGCAACCGACGCGGCCGCCAAGUUUGUGGCGAGCGCCAUUAGCGCCAGGAGGAGGAGGUUUCUCUUGGCCAUUAGGGGAGGAGGGGUUUAG